CUUGCUUUCAAGAUUCAAGAUCAACGUCUCAAGCUCUUCAUUAUCCACUCCAUUCACGGUGUGUACCCUCAAUCCCCGGAUAGAACGAUCCCUAUUUACCAUAUACUAACGAUGACUUACAGGGUUAAAUUUCGCGCUUUCUUUCUAGCAUAUCAGAUAUUUGAGAUGGGAAAAGAAAACCAGAACAAGAGUUACCAGACGAUGUCGUCUAUGGAGAUCGAGAAUCCCAAGCCAAAAACCUCUAAUCAGUUUGGUCGUUCUCCGAUCCAUUCCUUAGGGGAGAGACCGAAACGGAAAAACGAAACCGAAAAGUCCCAGAAGACGAAGACAAAGAGGCUGUGAAGCAUCCAAAACUCUGUCAUUGAAGCGGAUGGCUUGAGUUCUCUAAUCUCGAUUACGACGGUGACGAAUCCCAAAGAGGAAGAGAAAGGGAGUCGCUUGAGGGAGACAGAGUAGGAGGAGAUGAUGCAUCCUGCAAUGCCAAGAUCGAGAUUCUCGCCUUCUUUAUUUCAUUAUUACUGAAUUGACAAAUUUAUCCCCUCAGGUGGGCCUGAUUGUAGGAGUCUGAAUGUCCACGUGAACAGUUAAUGACCAAUUUGGACUAAGUAAUAAAAAUUGGACACGGCUAAUCAAAAUUAAGAGUAUAGAGGUGUUGUUGAUUAAAUUGAAACUGCAGGGACUUACAUAAUGUUAGGCCCAAACCUUAGGAAGGUAAAUAGAAAUUAAUCCAAACAUUAUUUGAUUCUCA